CCUACGGGGGGCAGCAGUGAGGAAUAUUGGGCAAUGGGCGGAAGCCUGAACCAGCCAAGUAGCGUGCAGGAUGACGGCCCUACGGGUUGUAAACUGCUUUUAUACGGGAAUAACGCGCCUUACGUGUAGGGCUUUGCAUGUACCUUAUUAAUAAGGACCGGCUAAUGCCGUGCCAGCAGCCGCGGUAAUACGGAGGGUCCGGGCGUUAUCCGGAUUUAUUGGGUUGAAAGGAAGCGUAGGUCGCAUGUCAAGCGUGCUGUGAAAGGUCCGGGCUCAACCCGGGCCUUGCAGCGCGAACUGGCGGGCUUGAGUCCGCGGAAAGCAGGCGGAAUUCGUCGUGUAGCGGUGAAAUGCGUAGAUAUGACGAAGAACCCCGAUUGCGAAGGCAGCUUGCUGCAGCGGAACUGACGCUGAUGCGCGAAAGCGCGGGUAUCGAACAGGAUUAGAUACCCGUGUAGUC
rnacentral:rRNA from 1 species